ACUUCCAAUGAUGAUACCUACUUUUACUAUUAUUUUCUGGUACCUCUUGAUUUAGGAACUCCUGCGGGAGGGACAAUGAUCUAACAGGACUUCUGAGU
rnacentral:snoRNA from 1 species